AACGAACGCUGGCGGCGUGCCUAACACAUGCAAGUCGAGCGCGAAAGUCCCUUCGGGGGCGAGUAGAGCGGCGGACGGGUGAGUAAUACAUGGAUAAACUCCCCUUGAGCUCGGGAUAACAGCGCGAAAGUGCUGCUAAUACCGGAUAAGACCACGCCCUGCACGCAGGGUGCGGUAAAAGGUGGCCUCUUCCUGAAAGCUAUCACUUGAGGAUGGACCCGCGGCCUAUUAGCUCGUUGGUGGGGUAACGGCCCACCAAGGCGACGGUGGGUAGCCGGCCUGAGAGGGUGUACGGCCACACUGGCACUGAGAUACGGGCCAGACUCCUACGGGAGGCAGCAGUGGGGAAUUUUGCGCAAUGGGGGCAACCCUGACGCAGCAACGCCGCGUGAGUGAUGAAGGCCUUCGGGUCGUAAAGCUCUUUUAGUGGGGAAGAAGCCCACCCGGGCUAAUAUCCAGGGUGUCUGACGGUACCCACAGAAAAAGUUCCGGCUAACUACGUGCCAGCCGCCGCAGUAAAAC
rnacentral:rRNA from 1 species